rnacentral:lncRNA from 1 species
AUUUGGGUACAAUGGUGAUGUGAACCCUAUUUGGGUCCAGUGACGAUAUGAGGCACCAUAGGAGUUGGCACCAGCUCAAGACAUGCCUCCUUUAAAGUCUUGUGACUUACCACUGUUCAAACUAAUACUAUUAAUGUAGUGGUUAAUGUUAGGCUUUUAGAAUUCAUAUUAUUUCUAUUUUGUUAUGUAAGGAGUUUGUACAAUACAGACUUUUCUAUACAGCUGCAGAGUCAGGAUUAUAGUCAGUGAGUGGAAAGUCACAAGGAUCUUAAUUCAUUUUAACUUUAAAGAUGAAAUAUUCUAACUUCAGCAGCUACUCCGAAACUAAAGAUGAGAUAGUAAGAAUCUUGUUUCUGGAAAUGUUCAAACAAGAACUAGAAGAUGCACAUUAGGGAAAUUAUGGAUAAUGCAAUGAGUGGUAGAUUUGACUUGAGACUUCUUAGAUGAUUUCAGAUGCAAAUUAGUAAUUUUAAAAUGUAUCACUUAAUGAUAUUCUAUGUGAUUUUAUUCUUAUAUAUGGAAAAUAUCCAGAAAUACAUGUAUUAGUCAAUUAUCUAAUGGUGAUGUUUUGCUUUCUUCGCCAAAUCUGAUAAUUUGUUACAAAAAUAAAAAUAGAUAACUAUGGGUUUAAUUUGUUAAACUUCUGUAUUUCCUUCACAGUGUGAAAUACUUCACAAAUGUACCCUUUCAUCCUUACAAAAAUUCUUCAAGUUGAACCUGCAAGUACCUUCUAUUGUUCCAGAAUCUUGCUUUGUUGCCCUGCUGUACAGAGCCUACUGAGGUGGGAAGAGAGAAACAAAUAAAGGAAGAAUUGUAGCUGAGUGAGAAACAUGCAAAAGGAAUAAAGGGAAGUAAUUUCUAACCUUGAGGUAAGGC